rnacentral:misc_RNA from 1 species
GUGAAUCAUCAAAUUUUUGAACGCAAAUUGCACUCUCUGGUAUUCCGGAGAGUAUGCCUGUUUGAGGGUCAUUUUAAAUAAAAAUCGGUGUGGGGGGUGCCUUUCGUGUGGACGCACCGGGUUUGGGUCGUCUUACCUUCGGGUAGGUGGCCUGUAGUUUUGCAUGAGUUGUUUCGAACGGAUUUAAAUGAUGUUACGUACGUUUGCGGUAUCGAAUACUAGGUGUGUGCAUCCCCAUGAGGCACGCCUAUAAUUUUUCAUCAAGAUGACCUCAAAGCAGGUAAGAG